rnacentral:lncRNA from 1 species
AUUUUCUACACGCAAGGUGGAGCCUUCUCUUUCUUAUCGUUCUCCUGAAGCAAAUCUAACCUAGCCUGCCUCACUUAUGAAUCCUUUGUGAGCGAGCGAGCGAGCAAGCAAGCAAAGAGAAACCUUCAUCUAAGCAGUUGAACAGGUGGCUAGUAGAGUCUUUGUACACGGAUACGCACGAGAAAGGGAAAUCCAUCCAAGGGCACUUGCGGCCUUGAUGAACCAUGUUGCUAGGGGAACCCACAGAGCCACGAAACGCAGAAAGGUAACUGUAGCAACCUAUUAAAAGUCCACCCCCCACGCAGAACCCGGUGCUGUUCCAGCGUUUACUUAUGCAUGGGUGCAGCAGUAGAAGCAAGAGCUGCGUACGUUUGUUUAGCUGUGCUGGAGAGUUUUAAAAGCAAACAUACUGGACUCUGUUUUUCUCCGUCUACUAAAACAAGACUGCAGUGCAAAACAUAGUACAUAGGAUUCUAGCAGGCGGGGAGUGGGGGAGUCUUUUCUGCCUUUGUUUUCUUCUUAAAGAAUUAUGGCUACCCUAGCAGUCAUAAGGGAUAGUGGUCCCAAAUAUUUUCUUCAGGUGGAAAACAGAAGGAGAAAUGUUUUUGUGACCCAACUAGGAGAACACAGGGAAGAAGAGGAUGAAAAUGUGUCUUACGUGCCAAUUGUUCCUGAGGCCUUUACGCACAAUUUGCAGCCUCACAGAAAAGCAUCACUAGCAUUCCAGAUUGCAAAGAAAGAAUGUGAAAAUAAACAUCUUUCUGCAGCUCUGACUGCAAAGAAGCAAGAAUUUAAAGAAAAGAUGGAAGCACUGGUCCAACGAAGAGGUGAACUUAACCAAAAAGAUUUAAAUGUAAGCAUCACUCUGCAUCUGUGGUGAGAAUACUUUGGAUGCCUCCAGACUGCAGGAGGCAAUCACGGGACUUAAAGAAGACCCCACAAUUGCCUCCAGCCUCCCGUG